GAUGAACGCUGGCGGCGUGCCUAAUACAUGCAAGUCGAGCGAACAGAUAAGGAGCUUGCUCCUUUGACGUUAGCGGCGGACGGGUGAGUAACACGUGGGUAACCUACCUAUAAGACUGGAAUAACUCCGGGAAACCGGGGCUAAUGCCGGAUAACAUUUAGAACCGCAUGGUUCUAAAGUGAAAGAUGGUUUUGCUAUCACUUAUAGAUGGACCCGCGCCGUAUUAGCUAGUUGGUAAGGUAACGGCUUACCAAGGCAACGAUGCGUAGCCGACCUGAGAGGGUGAUCGGCCACACUGGAACUGAGACACGGUCCAGACUCCUACGGGAGGCAGCAGUAGGGAAUCUUCCGCAAUGGGCGAAAGCCUGACGGAGCAACGCCGCGUGAGUGAUGAAGGUCUUCGGAUCGUAAAACUCUGUUAUUAGGGAAGAACAAAUGUGUAAGUAACUGUGCACAUCUUGACGGUACCUAAUCAGAAAGCCACGGCUAACUACGUG
rnacentral:rRNA from 1 species